rnacentral:misc_RNA from 1 species
AAUGGUAUCAUAGACUGCAUAUGCAAGUAUGUCAAUCUAUUACUAUAAACCAUCCUGAGUACCUUUCCAUGUUGCUUCCGCGAGGCAGUCACUUUGGUGGCCGUUUGCUCCGGACCCCCCCCCAUCCCUUUCACAGGUUUGGGAGACCCGGUGUGGGCGAGUUUCCUCGCGAAAGGUUUACCACAAAUCAAUUUAUAUUUAUUUAUUUUGUGUAAAGCGUCUGAACAGAAUUUUUUACAAAAUUUUAA